AACGAACGCUGGCGGCAGGCUUAACACAUGCAAGUCGAGCGCCCCGCAAGGGGAGCGGCAGACGGGUGAGUAACGCGUGGGAAUCUAUUCAUCUCUACGGAAUAACGCAUGGAAACGUGUGCUAAUACCGUAUACGUCCUUCGGGAGAAAGAUUUAUCGGAGAUGGAUGAGCCCGCGUUGGAUUAGCUAGUUGGUGGGGUAGAGGCCUACCAAGGCGACGAUCCAUAGCUGGUCUGAGAGGAUGAUCAGCCACACUGGGACUGAGACACGGCCCAGACUCCUACGGGAGGCAGCAGUGGGGAAUAUUGGACAAUGGGCGCAAGCUUGAUCCAGCCAUGCCGCGUGAGUGAUGAAGGCCCUAGGGUUGUAAAGCUCUUUCACCGGUGAAGAUAAUGACGGUAACCGGAGAAGAAGCCCCGGCUAACUUCGUGCCAGCCGCCGCAGUAAUAC
rnacentral:rRNA from 1 species